rnacentral:rRNA from 1 species
UACGUAGGGUGCAAGCGUUGUCCGGAAUCAUUGGGCGUAAAGAGCGUGUAGGCGGCCUGGUAAGUCCGCUGUGAAAGUCCAGGGCUCAACCCUGGAAUGCCGGUGGAAACUGUCAGGCUCGAGUCCGGAAGAGGCGAGUGGAAUUCCUGGUGUAGCGGUGAAAUGCGCAGAUAUCAGGAGGAACACCAAUGGCGAAGGCAGCACUCUGGGACGUGACUGACGCUGAGACGCGAAAGCGUGGGGAGCAAACAGG